AUGGCAGUGAUGUAUGAAUUUCUUCACCUGAGCUCAAAGUGAAGAGCGAAAUAGACGAGCUUUUUAACCCUGAGCUUUAG
rnacentral:snoRNA from 1 species